GUGUUUGCGGGCGUGGUAUCAUCAAGAUUCACAUCCAUCCAUGCAUCUCUCUCUCUCUCUCUCUCUCUCUCUCUCUCUGCCAAGCAGUUUGUUUGUUUCCAAAUGAGAUAUAUAGAUGCAUAUAGAACAUACUUUGGAUGAGAAUCUUGAUGAUGCUGCAUCCGCACACAA
rnacentral:pre_miRNA from 1 species